rnacentral:rRNA from 1 species
UACGGGGGGAGCAAGCGUUGUUCGGAUUUAUUGGGCGUAAAGAGCGUGUAGGCGGCCUGACAGGUCUGCUGUGAAAACUCGAGGCUCAACCUCGAGAUGUCGGCGGAAACCGUCUGGCUAGAGUCCGGAAGAGGAGAGUGGAAUUCCUGGUGUAGCGGUGAAAUGCGCAGAUAUCAGGAAGAACACCUAUGGCGAAGGCAGCUCUCUGGGACGGUACUGACGCUGAGACGCGAAAGCGUGGGGAGCAAACAGG